GGAAAGAUGAAAAGAACUUUGAAAAGAGAGUUAAACAGUACGUGAAAUUGUUGAAAGGGAAACGAUUGAAGUCAGUCAUACCAACGAGAAAUCAACCUUUUGAGCUUUGUCUCGUGGGUUCGAAGAGUUUAAACGCCUUCGGGUUCGCGAGAUUGGGAUCUUCUGGUGUACUUUCUCGUACGGUUAGUCAACAUCGGUUUUGAAUGCCAUAAAAUGACUGGAGGAAUGUAGCUUCGAUCUCGUAUCGAAGUGUUAUAGCCUUUGGUAGAUGUGAUGUUUGAGACCGAGGAUUGCAACGGAUACCCUUCAUGGGCUAUCCGUCUGAUCUCUGAUACGUUGCCUUGACGUUGAAAGCUUGCUUAUGAUGUUAGGGUUUUACGGUCAAAGGUUAGAACGGAUUAAAUUCGUUAAGGAUGUUGACGUAAUGACUUUAAACGACCCGUCUUGAAACACGGACCA
rnacentral:rRNA from 2 species